rnacentral:rRNA from 1 species
AUCCGGGUUGCGGACAGUGUCUGGUGGGUAGUUUGACUGGGGCGGUCUCCUCCUAAAGAGUAACGGAGGAGCACGAAGGUUGGCUAAUCCUGGUCGGACAUCAGGAGGUUAGUGCAAUGGCAUAAGCCAGCUUGACUGCGAGCGUGACGGCGCGAGCAGGUGCGAAAGCAGGUCAUAGUGAUCCGGUGGUUCUGAAUGGAAGGGCCAUCGCUCAACGGAUAAAAGGUACUCCGGGGAUAACAGGCUGAUACCGCCCAAGAGUUCAUAUCGACGGCGGUGUUUGGCACCUCGAUGUCGGCUCAUCACAUCCUGGGGCUGAAGUAGGUCCCAAGGGUAUGGCUGUUCGCCAUUUAAAGUGGUACGCGAGCUGGGUUUAGAACGUCGUGAGACAGUUCGGUCCCUAUCUGCCGUGGGCGCUGGAGAACUGAGGGGGGCUGCUCCUAGUACGAGAGGACCGGAGUGGACGCAUCACUGGUGUUCGGGUUGUCAUGCCAAUGGCACUGCCCGGUAGCUAAAUGCGGAAGAGAUAAGUGCUGAAAGCAUCUAAGCACGAAACUUGCCCCGAGAUGAGUUCUCCCUGAGACUUAGAGUC